UACGUAGGCAGCGAGCGUUGUUCGGAAUUACUGGGCGUAAAGAGUGUGUAGGCGGUGCUUUAAGUUCGGUGUGAAAUCUCCUGGCUCAACUGGAGGGUGCGCCGGAACUGGAGUGCUUGAGCGUGGGAGAGGAAAGCGGAAUUCCUGGUGUAGCGGUGAAAUGCGUAGAUAUCAGGAGGAACACCUGUGGUGUAGACGGCUUUCUGGACCAUAGCUGACGCUGAGACACGAAAGCGUGGUAGCAAACAGG
rnacentral:rRNA from 1 species